rnacentral:lncRNA from 1 species
CAAUACAAGCCCGGUAAACAGCUCGUAAAUGCUGAUGCACUGAGUCGGUUGCCUCAACCUUUGCAGCACGAAGUCGGUGCCGAGGAAGACUCGACUGAGUGCGUGCUCCUGCUACACCAGUGGGACGAACCGGCUAUUCCAGUGAAGGAACUACAAGCCUCGACGGCAGCGGACGUCACGCUUGCUGCGGUUUACAGGGAGCCGCCAGCAUCUCGGACGACAGUGGUGGACUGCGAGCAAUGGACGAUCGCGCCAGGUGAUGCCGUGUAUGUUCGAAAUUACGGUGCCGGUGACAAGUGGACCCCGGGCAAGGUCAAGUCAACGGAGGGCUCAAGAGUGGUGUCUGUAGAGACAGACAAUGGUAUCGUGCACCGUCACGCAGACCAAGUUCGCAAACGAAUGCCAGACAGACCAUCCGCUACAAUGUCAAACAAUGACUCCGAGGGAACUGGUGCACAGCCCAGUGACGGAACUACAACCCUUCAGUCAGCACCGCCGGACGUCGCAGCAGAUGUUCAACCCCAGCUACGUCGUUCCACUCGUGAAAGAAAACCCGUGGAGCGUUAUGGAUUCUAAGAAAAGGGAAAUGCUGCAACUUGCAAGCCACCAGUUGCUGAUGCGCAGUCGAACGCUGCGCAUACCUCGUAUCUUUCUGUCUUCCUUCUCCCCCACCCCGUUUCCUUUAAGUUAGCGUGCUUCGAAUAAACGCACGUCUUUUUGCUGGUCGA